CCUACGGGUGGCAGCAGUGAGGAAUAUUGGUCAAUGGACGAGAGUCUGAACCAGCAAAGUAGCGUGAAGGAUGACUGCCCUAUGGGUUGUAAACUUCUUUUAUAUGGGAAUAAAAUGUUCCACGUGUGGGAUUUUGUAUGUCCCAUAUGAAUAAGGAUCGGCUAACUCCGUGCCAGCAGCCGCGGUAAUACGGAGGAUCCGAGCGUUAUCCGGAUUUAUUGGGUUUAAAGGGAGCGUAGGUGGAUUGUUAAGUCAGUUGUGAAAGUUUGCGGCUCAACCGUAAAAUUGCAGUUGAAACUGGCAGUCUUGAGUACAGUAGAGGUGGGCGGAAUUCGUGGUGUAGCGGUGAAAUGCUUAGAUAUCACGAAGAACUCCGAUUGCGAAGGCAGUUCACUGGACUGCAACUGACACUGAGGCUCGAAAGUGUGGGUAUCAAACAGGAUUAGAUACCCGUGUAGUC
rnacentral:rRNA from 1 species